UGGGGAAUCUUGCGCAAUGGGGGCAACCCUGAUGCAGCGACGCCGCGUGAGCGAUGAAGCCCUUCGGGGCGUAAAGCUCUUUCGACCGGAACGAUAAUGACGGUACCUGAGGAGGAAGCCACGGCUAACUACGUGCCAGCAGCCGCGGUAAUACGUAGGUGGCAAGCGUUGUCCGGAUUUACUGGGCGUAAAGGGAGCGUAGGCGGACUUUUAAGUGAGAUGUGAAAUACCCGGGCUCAACCUGGGUGCUGCAUUUCAAACUGGAAGUCUAGAGUGCAGGAGAGGAGAGUGGAAUUCCUAGUGUAGCGGUGAAAUGCGUAGAGAUUAGGAAGAACACCAGUGGCGAAGGCGACUCUCUGGACUGUAACUGACGCUGAGGCUCGAAAGCGUGGGGAGCAAACA
rnacentral:rRNA from 1 species